GUAGAUCCAAGAAGGCCUGUGGCAAAGACAAAGGCAGGAAACCGAAUUCAAUUAUAAGAAAGUUGAUAGGGCAUAUUAUUACAAGAACGUAUUUGAAAAUAGGGUUUGUAGUAGAUAAAUAAAAUAGAAACAAAAUGGCAAUAUAACUUGAACUCUGGCUGGUUUUGUAACUCUCUCGAUGAAAGAUUAUGUAACUAAUCAACGAUAUUUAUCUAUUGACCGAACAUUCCUUGCGCCUCAAUUGCAAUAGCAAAUGGAACUAUAAUGUUUAGGUCUUAUCUUGCCAGACCAAUCUGUUGGUAAAUGCUUGUUAAUUUAUUAUAAGGAUUUCAUUCUAAUUUCCGAAAAUAAAAAUAAAUGUUUGAUUCAUGGAAAAAGUUUUAUAUAUUCUAUUUUCUAUGAUUAUUAAUAUUAAAUAGAUAUUAACUCACUGCCCUGGACUUGACUCACAUAUACAAAAAAUAAAAAUUAGAAGAAAAUCGGACAUAUUUUAAUGCGACUUAUUAAUAAUGAUUAGAUAAUAGUAGAAUAUUUUAUACUACUUAGAACCUAUUGUUAACUAUGUUUACAAAAAAGCGAAUAACUUUUUCCUUUUUUUCCUUCGCAAAUACAACCUUUUAUAACGCAGUGUUAAAACUUUGCUGCCACUACUUACUAAACCUUAUAUAAUUUAUGUGCACAUGUGUUAAUCGUUUGUUAAAUUUUUUCAUAUUGACAUAACAAUUGAUUCCGGUAAAAUACAUAUAUUACGAAAUUAUUAUAAACUAUUUCAGUAUAAUUUAUCAUUUAUUGUAUUAUCCAAUUAUUUACAAGAAACUUUGCUUUGUUUACGUAACUUUUAACUUAUUUAACCAGCUUGAUUAUUUUGUAUUCUUCCCAGUAUUUCAAUAUGUAUGCAUAUAUAGCGAAAAUAAUGUCUACAUACAACUAAAAAUAAAUGUUAAAUUAUCACUAAAUUAAGAAACUUACUCCUAUCUGACUCAGUUCAGUAAGUUUGCAUGCUAUUAAGCAAUAAUCCACUCUAAGCAUCAAAAGGUUUUAUAAAUAAAUAUAAUAUGAGCAUGUAGUAUAUACGUAUAUAUAAAUACAUAUUACGAGAGUACACACACAUUUUAGAUAAACCACUGUAUUAGAAAGCGCUUUCACGUUAUAUGUACUUUUAUUAUUUAUGAUAAGGCCUUUUUAUAAUAAAAUAAAAUUAUAAAUAUAGUCGAA